UACGGAGAGUGCGAGCGUUGUUCGGAAUCAUUGGGCGUAAAGGGCGUCUAGGCGGCGCACCAAGUCAGAUGUGAAAUCCCUCGGCUCAACCGAGGACGUGCAUUUGAAACUGGUGUGCUUGAGUAUCGGAGGGGGCAGUGGAAUUCCCGGUGUAGAGGUGAAAUUCGUAGAUAUCGGGAGGAACACCAGUGGCGAAGGCGACUGCCUGGCCGAAUACUGACGCUGAAGCGCGAAAGCGUGGGGAGCAAACAGG
rnacentral:misc_RNA from 1 species